AAGGGGUUCAGUGUGUGUGUGUGUGUGUGUGUGUGUGUGAGGGGGACAGUGUGUGAGUAGUGUGUGUGUUUGAAGGUUGUAGUGUGUGAGUGAGGGCAGCAGUGUAUGUCAGGGAUGCAGUGUAUGUGUGGGACAGUAUGUGUGUGUAACAGCUGCAGUGUGUGUGUGAGUAUUGCAGUGUAUGUGUGAGUGUGGGCAAUGUGUGUGUAUGGGGCGGCAGUGUAUGGGGCAGUGUGUGUGUGUAUGGGGAUAGUGUAUGGGGGGCAGUAUGUGUGUAUGGGGGGCAGUAUGUGU